AACGAACGCUGGCGGCAGGCCUAACACAUGCAAGUCGAGCGCCCUUUCGGGGGCGCGGCGGACGGGUGAGUAACGCGUGGGAAUAUGCCCUUCUCUACGGAAUAGCCUCGGGAAACUGAGAGUAAUACCAUAUACGCCCUGUGGGGGAAAGAUUUAUCGGGGAAGGAUUAGCCCGCGUUGGAUUAGGUAGUUGGUGGGGUAAUGGCCUACCAAGCCGACGAUCCAUAGCUGGUUUGAGAGGAUGAUCAGCCACACUGGGACUGAGACACGGCCCAGACUCCUACGGGAGGCAGCAGUGGGGAAUCUUAGACAAUGGGGGCAACCCUGAUCUAGCCAUGCCGCGUGAGUGAUGAAGGCCUUAGGGUUGUAAAGCUCUUUCAGCUGGGAAGAUAAUGACGGUACCAGCAGAAGAAGCCCCGGCUAACUCCGUG
rnacentral:rRNA from 1 species